rnacentral:lncRNA from 1 species
UGAAAGUAGGUUGAUUGCUACAUAAUUUUUCUCAGUUUUGAAUAUUCACAUUUUGAUGUAUUAUAAUUAACCGUGGAAUUCUUCUUACUAAUGUAUUCAUUUGAAAACUACAGUGGUGUAGCCAGAAAUUUAAUAAGGGGUGUAACUAAAAAAAAAAAAAUAAAAUAAUAUUGAAUGUUGUUUGAAUAAAACUGAAAUGUAAAAGGACACAAAAUUGUGUAAUAUGUUUUAUUGAUCAUAAAUAGUCAUCACAGAACAAAUGUUAAUAUCAUGGAGUGCAACUGCUCCCUUUCACCCUCCUGGCUACUCCACUACAGAGACGAGAAUCUAUAGAUCAAAUAUGGAUUCCUAUAGAAAAGAUUAAAAUUGGUUUUCUGUAUUGGACAUUGUAGAUAACAGAUUUUUCUUGUUCGUAAUUAUUGUAAAUUUUUCUGUAUAUUAUAUAAAUUGUGCUGUUAUAUUUAUGUUGGGGUAAUUCCCUUUUUUCCCCAAAUUAAAAUCAUUGCCGUUUAUUAGGCAUCCAAUAGGAACAAGUCGAAGGAGGAAAAUGGAUAUGCUUAGAGCGAAGAUAGAAUAUGAAUCUUGGUAAGUCUAAGAAAAAGUACAGUAGGCCGAAAUUUGACAAUCUUAAUUUUUCAUUCAGGUGAGUUUUAAUUUCAGAAUGAAUGUGUUCAAAAUAUAAUUAUCGGAAAGAUAAAUUUUUAGCUAGUUAUUUCUGUUUUACUUUUAAUAUUAGAAUAUUUUCGAUUAUCGAUUAAUUUACAAAGCCACGUGCAUAAUAAUUUGAGUUUUUAGUGAAAAUGCACGAAUACUGCAUUGUUAACAUCUGAAUACGGAUAUAAUACACUCUUUCACUGUUGACUUUUAACAUUGAAAUGUUUUUGUUGGACAGUGAAUACGUUGUUGAAUAUAACAAGAAAACUGAAAUUUUUAUUAUUACUAAAAUUUAUUCAGUGGAAAAUUGCGGCGUGUUUUGGGCAUUGAGCACGAACAAGUGUGUUUAGAAAAGUGAUAAUUUAUAAUAAUGCAUACUAUUUAUAUUUAUCAUACAUUUUAAUGUAAAAUAUUGGUAAAUCUUAAGAAAAUCAUCAAAAUCUUUAUUUUCUUAUAUAUUUAAUGUAUUGUGAGUUUGUUGAUCAUUUUGCAUGUUGUUGAAUUGGAAGAUUGCAUAGCAUAGAGUGCCAAACAUGUCAUCGAUUUCAGUCGAUGUUACAUGUUUGGCACUCUUAUGACAUAAUAUUACAUUUUAGUAGGAUAACAUAAUAUCCUCACAAGGCAGACUGCUUAAUUUAUGUGAGAGCAUUGUUAUCUGCCCAAAACAUCGUAAAUGCUGUAUUAAAAUGACCUAAGAUGAUGAUAGAUAAGUUUCCAACAUUUAUCUGCCAGUUUUUAAACUAAGAAAAAUGUGAUUAAAAAAAUUUUUGCAUCUGGACUUGUAUUCAGUAAAAAUGUUUAUAAUAAAAUGUUCAUUAUACUAAAAGUAUGUUGUUAUAAAAUUAUUACACUUUCUAAAUGUUAUCAGUGUCCAAACAGUUGAUGUUAGAGAGUAUGAAGUUUUUUUUUAAUUCGAAUAUACUGAUUUCGUGUCAAAAAUGGUCAAAACGUGAAGCAUUGAGUUUUGCCUUUAUUUUGUAACGAAAAAUAUUAAAAAGUUAUACUUUCUUCAAUUUAAUGAGAAUUAUUAAAUCGUUAUGUAAAAUUUACCACAUUCACACAGAAUUCGUCAAUUUUAUGCUGCUCGAACAAUUGGUAAUUUAUUGUAUGUCUUCGGUUUUGUUAUAUAGCAGAUUGUAUUUGUGUAUGGAAAAGUAAAUAAAAUGAUAAAAGAAAAUGGCUUGUUUUAAUUCAUUGGAACCUUUUAAUCAUUUUCAAAGAAUUAAAUCUUCGUGAGACAGUUUAGUUUGGAUUUUAAUCUCCUAGACUUCAGUAAUUUAGAGAUAUGCAGAUGUAGUGCUUAAUAUGAGACUAUUUUGCAGCAUGGUUAACGUUAUGUUUAGCAUCACUUUAUUAAUGCGGAAUGGUUCGUUAAUUGAUUGCUGAAUAAAAUCAGUCAUCAUAAAUUUUCUAAAUAAUUUUUUUGUUUAGAUAAAACAACUGAUGAAAAACGUCAAUGUUCGAACUAAGUCCAUCGUUAUAUGGCGUUAUUUUAGUUUAAUUGUAAAGAAUUUUUUUCUUAUAUUUGUACUAUUCUAUCACAAAAUAUAUUAAUUUAAUUAUAGGUAUCAAUUUAUGGGACAUGAAAUUUACUAAAUUCACUAAUAUAGAAAUGUAUUUUUAUAAUGUCAAAGUGAAGUCAUAUCAUCCAAAAAUUGCAUUAAUCCAUAAAACUAAUACUAUUUACUAAUCUGUCUGUCAUAAUAUAAAUUUUUAUCAUCAAUUUUUUUGCAUUUUUUUUAGUAAGGAAUCGAGUCCUUUUUGGAAGCUGAAACCAGCUUAUAGGACUGGGUGGUUACAUAAUUCCGUUGCCCGACCUAGAAGAUAGGGCUUUACUUAAAGGAUUAUCCGUUCAGAAGGAUGUUGGGUGAAUGUAUCAACCGUUUUCGAGGAAUUGCACUCGGAAUCGAUGCCAUGCAGUUCCAGCACGAGCUCAACUGAUCUACCAAGGCUCCAGUUUCAUUACAAGUAAAUUGAAUUUUACCGCCAUUAUUAAAAUUCACUUGAUCGAAUCAUUUGUAGAAAGUUGUGGUUGUUUUUUUUUUAACUACUUUGUAAGAGUAUACAAUAGAUAUAAUUUUUCUUAAUGUUAAAUUUCAUAUAAUCAAUUUUAAAGCACUGAAAAUGUCUUUUAAUAUGCAGUUUUUUCUAUAUUAAUACUCUCUCCUAAGCUUCAGUACACGUCGUCAUUCAUUUGAAUUACGCAAAAUACAGUACAAUAUUCAUUUUCUUGAAUAUCUUCGUUCAUAUUGAGUUGCAUGGCCAAAUAAAAAAUGUAACUAAAUCGUAGGCAAUUAAAAGUUACAUAAAAUGAGUAUUCUGAUGACCAUGGUGUCCAAAUCACUCGGAAUGGUUUAUAUUGAACCAUGAUAAAAUUCAAUGGUGCGAUACGAUUAUUUCGUUUGUUUUAAUAUCAAAUGUAUCAGUGCUGUUAUUUUUAAUAAAGAAGAUGAAAUAGAAAUUCUGGUAACGUGCUUUCUUUAUUUAUGAAGCAUUUAAUACGAAUUACUGCGAACUUUAAUCGCUAGCGAAAACUGAUGUCGAUAUUGAAUCAUAUUGUCCAUAUUUAGAUGCGGAAAAAAAUCAGGCUCUAACAUUGGCCAGUGAUUCUCUUUUGAUGUGAAUUUAACCAGUGCGCGUUUACCAGUGAGGGAUUACAAAUUAUCGAAAAUUUCGAUGAAUGUUACAAUUGUAAGCAUUAGUUCAAUGACAUUGGAGGUAUUUAAACGUAUAAAUAUGCAUUAAUUUUUCAGGUUUAGAUUAUCUUAAAUUACGCCGCUGAAUCACAUGAGGUAUAUAUUUGAUGGAGGCUACUUAUAGUUUCACAUGAUGAUGGGUCAAUUGGAAAUUUGAGAUCGGGUUCAACGGAUCACAGGACCAGAUUCCUGAACCACGAAGUCGAACCAGAUUCUCCAUGGUAAUAAGCGACUGCUUUACCACUCAGCCGUCUGGCAAACUUGUGUUGGCAUAUAGUGUGUUUAAUAAUUUACCCAGUCUGUUAAAUUCUCAAACAUCAUUUUCGUGUGAAAACAAAUGUGGGCGCGGAUGCUUUUCAUUUAACUAUAAAAGUAUGUUUUAGUUAAAACUUCAACAAAAAUCUUC